CACACUGCCCCAUGCUCCAGAAUAGCUCUUGGAAACGGGUGGUAAUGCUGGAUGCUCCAACUUGACGCAUGUCUUGUUGGGAAAGUGUUUAGUGGCAUGGGAUGGGGUCGCGUCCUAUCAGCUUGUAGGCGGGGUAAUGGCCCACCUAGGCUUCGACGGGUAGCCGGCCUGAGAGGGCGGACGGCCACAUUGGGACUGAGAUACGGCCCAGACUCCUACGGGAGGCAGCAGGG
rnacentral:rRNA from 1 species